rnacentral:rRNA from 1 species
UGGGGAAUAUUGGACAAUGGGGGCAACCCUGAUCCAGCCAUGCCGCGUGAGUGAUGAAGGCCUUAGGGUUGUAAAGCUCUUUCGCCGGUGACAUGAUGACGGUAACCGGAGAAGAAGCCCCGGCUAACUUCGUGCCAGCAGCCGCGGUAAUACGAAGGGGGCUAGCGUUGUUCGGAAUGACUGGGCGUAAAGCGCACGUAGGCGGCUUGUUUAGUCAGAGGUGAAAUCCCGGGGCUUAACCCCGGGAACUGCCUUUGAUACUGGCAAGCUUGAGCCCGGAAGAGGGUGGCGGAAUACCCAGUGUAGAGGUGAAAUUCGUAGAUAUUGGGUAGAACACCGGUGGCGAAGGCGGCCACCUGGUCCGGUGCUGACGCUGAGGUGCGAAAGCGUGGGGAGCAA